rnacentral:rRNA from 1 species
UACGUAGGGUGCGAGCGUUGAUCGGAAUUACUGGGCGUAAAGCGUGCGCAGGCGGUUUUGUAAGCCAGAUGUGAAAUCCCCGGGCUUAACCUGGGAAUGGCAUUUGGGACUGCAAGGCUUGAGUGCGGCAGAGGAGACUGGAAUUCCUGGUGUAGCAGUGAAAUGCGCAGAUAUCGGAAGGAACACCUGUGGCGAAAGCGGCUCACUGGACCAUUACUGACGCUGAGGCACGAAAGCUAGGGGAGCAAACAGG